GAUGAACGCUGGCGGCGUGCCUAAUACAUGCAAGUCGAGCGAACGGACGAGAAGCUUGCUUCUCUGAUGUUAGCGGCGGACGGGUGAGUAACACGUGGAUAACCUACCUAUAAGACUGGGAUAACUUCGGGAAACCGGAGCUAAUACCGGAUAAUAUUUUGAACCGCAUGGUUCAAAAGUGAAAGACGGUCUUGCUGUCACUUAUAGAUGGAUCCGCGCUGCAUUAGCUAGUUGGUAAGGUAACGGCUUACCAAGGCAACGAUGCAUAGCCGACCUGAGAGGGUGAUCGGCCACACUGGAACUGAGACACGGUCCAGACUCCUACGGGAGGCAGCAGUAGGGAAUCUUCCGCAAUGGGCGAAAGCCUGACGGAGCAACGCCGCGUGAGUGAUGAAGGUCUUCGGAUCGUAAAACUCUGUUAUUAGGGAAGAACAUAUGUGUAAGUAACUGUGCACAUCUUGACGGUACCUAAUCAGAAAGCCACGGCUAACUACGUGCCAGCAGCCGCGGUAAUACGUAGGUGGCAAGCGUUAUCCGGAAUUAUUGGGCGUAAAGCGCGCGUAGGCGGUUUUUUAAGUCUGAUGUGAAAGCCCACGGCUCAACCGUGGAGGGUCAUUGGAAACUGGAAAACUUGAGUGCAGAAGAGGAAAGUGGAAUUCCAUGUGUAGCGGUGAAAUGCGCAGAGAUAUGGAGGAACACCAGUGGCGAAGGCGACUUUCUGGUCUGUAACUGACGCUGAUGUGCGAAAGCGUGGGGAUCAAACAGGAUUAGAUACCCUGGUAGUCCACGCCGUAAACGAUGAGUGCUAAGUGUUAGGGGGUUUCCGCCCCUUAGUGCUGCAGCUAACGCAUUAAGCACUCCGCCUGGGGAGUACGACCGCAAGGUUGAAACUCAAAGGAAUUGACGGGGACCCGCACAAGCGGUGGAGCAUGUGGUUUAAUUCGAAGCAACGCGAAGAACCUUACCAAAUCUUGACAUCCUUUGACAACUCUAGAGAUAGAGCCUUCCCCUUCGGGGGACAAAGUGACAGGUGGUGCAUGGUUGUCGUCAGCUCGUGUCGUGAGAUGUUGGGUUAAGUCCCGCAACGAGCGCAACCCUUAAGCUUAGUUGCCAUCAUUAAGUUGGGCACUCUAAGUUGACUGCCGGUGACAAACCGGAGGAAGGUGGGGAUGACGUCAAAUCAUCAUGCCCCUUAUGAUUUGGGCUAUACACGUGCUACAAUGGACAAUACAAAGGGCAGCGAAACCGCGAGGUCAAGCAAAUCCCAUAAAGUUGUUCUCAGUUCGGAUUGUAGUCUGCAACUCGACUACAUGAAGCUGGAAUCGCUAGUAAUCGUAGAUCAGCAUGCUACGGUGAAUACGUUCCCGGGUCU
rnacentral:rRNA from 1 species